GAAGGUGGGGAUGACGUCAAGUCAUCAUGGCCCUUACGACCAGGGCUACACACGUGCUACAAUGGCGCAUACAAAGAGAAGCGACCUCGCGAGAGCAAGCGGACCUCAUAAAGUGCGUCGUAGUCCGGAUUGGAGUCUGCAACUCGACUCCAUGAAGUCGGAAUCGCUAGUAAUCGUGGAUCAGAAUGCCACGGUGAAUACGUUCCCGGGCCUUGUACACACCGCCCGUCACACCAUGGGAGUGGGUUGCAAAAGAAGUAGGUAGCUUAACCUUCGGGAGGGCGCUUACCACUUUGUGAUUCAUGACUGGGGUGAAGUCGUAACAAGGUAACCGUAGGGGAACCUGC
rnacentral:rRNA from 1 species